rnacentral:lncRNA from 1 species
UUUCUUGAAAAAGGAUUUUGGUACAACAUUAAUCUUUCUGAGUUGAUGAGGUACAUUGGUUCAUGAAAGCAUCUGUUUGCAAACUAUUUGGUUCAUAAACAAAAGCUCUUGGAAAAUUUUGCUUCAGUUCACAAGCUCUGUAUUAUGUAACAAAUAUGACCAUGGCCACCUUUCCUGCAAAAAUACAAAUGCAGUCAUCUUCCCACAAACCGUAAUCAAAUUAAGCUGUAAACUGAUAUACCAGUGUACUCAGACCCAGCUCUGGAUUCCAAGAAAAUCUUCCAUCUUCAGACAGAAUGAAUUACCAGCCAUCGUUUAGACACAGUGGUCCUUGGUAGCCCACAAUGCACCAAUCUGACUGUUCUUUAGUCUUCAAUGCAGUAACAUAAGCGCUUGUGGCAGCACUCCAAAACCACUGCUUGCAGUUGAAAAUGUUUUAUGUGGGUCUCUAUAAUGUCACUCAGGUGCAGUGUGUAACUCUUUCCAAACAACUUAAUAAAGGAGGCACUACUAUUUUUCAAGUCAUCAAACAUUUUAGAGGAAGUCUGCAGUGCCCUGUGGAAGAUCCUGACCCUGAAACUAUAUUCAGUACCACGUUGUUUGUUUCACAUCUAACUUCUUGACUUUGGGGAACUACACCCAGGAGAACUGACAUUUGUCGCAACAAAGCCACACACAAAAUAAUGAGGGGAAAUUUUUCUUUUUUACUUGAAAUGUAAUUUCUUCUAAAUCAAUAGUGUGCCGAUAUUCAUGUCUUAAGGAAACAACUAAAUACAGACAACUCACCUGUACAUGGAGGUCAUACUUUUGAAAAACUAUGGGGAAAAUAAAGCAACAAAAACAUAGCCAUAUCCAUUCCUGUAACCUCAGCAUAACAGAGUAGAAUAAUGACAAACAAUGGCUAAUACCAUCUUUUUCUUUUCCUUUAUAUUUUAAAGAUUGUUUAUGUAUGUAAGCCAAAACUAAAAGGGUAAAGACAGAUAAAACCCAGAUGGAUGGAGGAACUUUUGUGUAGUAAUUCUGUGUUUUAAAUGAAUUUUAAAAUUAUUAUGUGGAAUUCUAAAUUCCAAUCUCUGAGUUUUGUUUAUAAUGAUACACUGGUUUUAAUUAAGGAUUUUGAGUAUAUGGAACUAACUUCUUUUCAUCUUCCAAUGUGUGGCUUCCAUACAACUAAAGCCAUACCUUUCAUAAUAUCUGAACAUGAUUUUAGAUUCAGUAACCUAGUCGGUGGCUGAUUCAACAGAUGGAUGGGGGUUGAAUUACAUAAAGAGAUUUAAAAAUAGAAGUGAUCUUAAUUAUGGAUGCCAUGUCA